AUGAACGCUGGCGGCGUGCCUAAUACAUGCAAGUCGCGCGAACAGACGAGGAGCUUGCUCCUCUGACGUUAGCGGCGGACGGGUGAGUAACACGUGGAUAACCUACCUAUAAGACUGGGAUAACUUCGGGAAACCGGAGCUAAUACCGGAUAAUAUAUUGAACCGCAUGGUUCAGUAGUGAAAGACGGUUUUGCUGUCACUUAUAGAUGGAUCCGCGCCGCAUUAGCUAGUUGGUAAGGUAACGGCUUACCAAGGCAACGAUGCGUAGCCGACCUGAGAGGGUGAUCGGCCACACUGGAACUGAGACACGGUCCAGACUCCUACGGGAGGCAGCAGUAGGGAAUCUUCCGCAAUGGGCGAAAGCUUGACGGAGCAACGCCGCGUGAGUGAUGAAGGUCUUCGGAUCGUAAAACUCUGUUAUUAGGGAAGAACAAAUGUGUAAGUAACUAUGCACGUCUUGACGGUACCUAAUCAGAAAGCCACGGCUAACUACGUG
rnacentral:rRNA from 1 species